UACGUAGGCAGCGAGCGUUGUUCGGAGUUACUGGGCGUAAAGAGUGCGUAGGCGGUUUUUCUAAGUUUGGUGUGAAAUCUCCCGGCUUAACUGGGAGGGUGCGCCGAAGACUGGAAGGCUCAGAGUGUGGGAGAGGUAAGCGGGAAUUCCUGGUGUAGCGGUGAAAUGCGUAGAUAUCAGGAGGAACACCUGCGGUGUAGACGGCUUACUGGACCAUAACUGACGCUGAGGCACGAAAAGCGUGGGUAGCAAACAGG
rnacentral:rRNA from 1 species